UACGAAGGGGGCUAGCGUUGUUCGGAAUUACUGGGCGUAAAGCGCACGUAGGCGGGUCGUUAAGUCAGGGGUGAAAUCCCAGAGCUCAACUCUGGAACUGCCUUUGAUACUGGCGACCUAGAGUUCAGAAGAGGUUAGUGGAAUUCCCAGUGUAGAGGUGAAAUUCGUAGAUAUUGGGAAGGACACCAGUGGCGAAGGCGGCUAACUGGUCCGAUACUGACGCUGAGGUGCGAAAGCGUGGGGAGCAAACAGG
rnacentral:rRNA from 1 species